rnacentral:lncRNA from 1 species
GUUUCACUUUGCUGGUUGCUGUACAGACCGCUACCAUGCUGGCUGGCUAGGUUGCUCUAUUUCUAAAAUGAUCCAGGAAGAAGUGUUUACAAUGUAAUGCUAUUUUGGCAGAGCAUGAAGAAGAAAUGGCAUAUGGAAAAAACGAACUUAGAAAACCAUAGCUCAUAAUGAAGGUGCCGAAUAUUGAAGAUCUUGAUGAAAAGUUGGAAGAUUGAGCCAGCAUAAAUCAAUGCAUGCAUCCAGAAGCCUGCAGGUGGGAGGAAGAGCAGAGAGCUUGUGCAGUGUGAUUACACUGUAUUUGAAAGUCGACAAGGACCCCACCUCCACUCUGUACUCCUCCCAUUCGGAUCUAUUGUCAGGACUUGCCUUAUGCUAUGAGAAACAAUUUGAGACUCAGGGUGACAAUAGAAUAUAAUCAGAGAUCAAGAUUUUUUUUUAUUAGAUGUUUGUGUUUACAAGGAAAGGUGAAUCUGCAUUAGAUCCUAUAAUUUUUUUAUUUGUUGUUUGCUUUUUG